rnacentral:tRNA from 1 species
GCGGGGGUGUCAGAGCCAGGUCAAAUGAGCAGGACUGAGGCUCCUGUGCCUUUAGUGGCUGCGUGGGUUCAAAUCCCAUCCCCCGCA